rnacentral:lncRNA from 1 species
CAAUAUCUAGUUUUGUACCCAGCUCUCUUGAGGGUUGUGGAGUGUAGCUAGUAUUGAACAUGGAGAUCAAUUAUGCUCUGGCAUUGCUCUUAGUCCUCAUUCUCAACUUGGGUAGUUUGCUCACUUCUCUUGCUAACUCCUAUUGCCCACCACCAACAUACCCUCCAGUUCCUCACUUGCCACCCAAACACCCUCCCCAUGUAACUCCACCCUUCCACCCUAAACCACCAAAGAAGCCACCACCAUAUGUCAAACCACCUCAUGCAAAGCCUCCUCCUCAUGUACCAAUCAAACCCCCUCAUGUUAAACCACCCAUUGUAAAACCACCUCCUUAUCCGAAACCUCCAGUUGCCAAACCACCUCCCCAUCCCAAACCUCCUGUUGUCAAACCACCUCCCCAUCCCAAACCUCCUGUUGUCAAACCACCUCCCCAUCCCAAACCUCCUGUUGUCAAACCACCUCCCUAUCCCAAACCUCCUGUUGUCAAACCACCUCACCUAUCCCAAACCUCCUGUUGUCAAACCACCCUCCCUAUCCCAAACCUCCUGUUGUCAAACCACCUCCCUAUCCCAAACCUCCUGUUGUCAAACCACCUCACCAUCCCAAGCCUCCUGUUGUCAAACCACCUCCCCAUCCCAAACCUCCUGUUGUCAAGCCUCCAGUUGUCAAACCACCUCCCCAUCCCAAACCACCAGUUGUACUGCCUCCACCAUAUACCCCGAAGCCCCGGUUGUACUGCCUUCCACCAUAUACCCCGAAGCCCCCGGUUGUGCUGCCUCCACCAUAUACCCCGAAGCCCCCGGUUGUGGCCUCCACCAUAUCCCCCGAACCCCCCCGGUGUAUGUGCUGCCUCCACCAUAUACCCCGAAGCCCCCGGUUGUACUGCCUCCACCAUAUACCCCGAAGCCCCCGGUUGUACUGCCUCCACCAUAUACCCCGAAGCCCCCGGUUGUACUGCCUCCACCAUAUACCCCGAAGCCCCCGGUUGUACUGCCUCCACCAUAUACCCCGAAGCCCCCAGUUGUACUGCCUCCACCAUAUACCCCCAAGCCCCCAGUUGUACUGCCUCCACCAUAUACCCCCAAGCCCCCAGUUGUACUGCCUCCACCUUCACCACCUGUUGUAGUGCCAAGCCCACCAUCAACACCAACCCCAACCCCAGUUGUCCCAGUGAAGCCUCCUCCACCCACUGAAACACCAUGCCCUCCUCCACCACCAAAGGUAGUACCACCCCCAACAUCACCACCUCCAAAGUCGCCACCGAAGGACACGUGCCCCAUCGACACCUUAAAGUUGGGAGCUUGUGUAGAUGUGCUGGGUGGACUUAUCCAC